UCCCUGAUGGCUCAGACGGUUAAAGCGUCUGCCUGCAAGGCAGGAGACCUGGGUUCAAUUCCUGGGUUGGGAA
rnacentral:tRNA from 1 species